UACGAAGGGGGGCUAGCGUUGCUCGGAAUCACUGGGCGUAAAGCGCACGUAGGCGGAUUGUUAAGUCAGGGGUGAAAUCCUGGAGCUCAACUCCAGAACUGCCUUUGAUACUGGCGAUCUCGAGUCCGGGAGAGGUGAGUGGAACUGCGAGUGUAGAGGUGAAAUUCGUAGAUAUUCGCAAGAACACCAGUGGCGAAGGCGGCUCACUGGCCCGGUACUGACGCUGAGGUGCGAAAGCGUGGGGAGCAACAGGAGUUAAG
rnacentral:rRNA from 1 species